rnacentral:rRNA from 1 species
GAUGAACGCUAGCGGCAGGCUUAACACAUGCAAGUCGAGGGGCAGCACGUCUUCGGAUGGUGGCGACCGGCGCACGGGUGCGUAACGCGUAUACAACCUACCUUAUAGAGGGGAAUAGCCCAGAGAAAUUUGGAUUAAUGCCCCAUAGUAUUAUUGAAUAGCAUUAUUUGAUGAUUAAACAUUUAUGGCUAUAAGAUGGGUAUGCGUUCUAUUAGCUAGAUGGUAAGGUAACGGCUUACCAUGGCGACGAUAGAUAGGGGUCCUGAGAGGGAGAUCCCCCACACUGGUACUGAGACACGGACCAGACUCCUACGGGAGGCAGCAGUGAGGAAUAUUGGACAAUGGGCGAGAGCCUGAUCCAGCCAUGCCGCGUGCAGGAAGACGGGCCCUAUGGGUUGUAAACUGCUUUUAUACGGGAAGAAACACUCCUUCGUGAAGGAGCUUGACGGUACCGUAAGAAUAAGGAUCGGCUAACUCCGUGCCAGCAGCCGC